UCCUUUCUCAUCUCUUAUGUAUGAUUUAUUUUUGUCAUGCGUCCCAGUCGUCGCCCCUAAAGGAGUUAAAGUUUGUGUUGAAUUGAGACACACGUACCUUUUCGUCUCACACACCGGGGGAGAGCUACACUGAUGGUGAAUAAGACAAAAGCUACGGAUGCUGCAGUGCUCCACCACGACCUCCUCACCCUCUGCUCAUCAAAACCUGCAGAGAAAACGGGACAUGGUUUUAUCAAAUCCCCGUGAAGGUGCAAGUGUACAUCCCAGUGUGUUCCUCUAUAUCCGGCUUGAGAAGAAGAAGAGAUCCGUCCCCCAGAGGAAGCAGAUCCUGGUCCAGAGUAGCUUCUCCCUCCCACAGGUUAAAGAUGAUGACCUCUAGAGGGCAUAGAUGAGAUGUCCGGUCCACAUGUGAAUAGCUGCCUGCUGUCCAGCAGCUGUGGGGUCACAUGUACGAGAGAAGCAAGCUCCACGUGCGCGAUUCUUUAAGAUGGCACUGCUCAUGUCUGCCCUCAAUCAACUUUAAUCCCAGAUUAAAGGGACCAUGCCACUAAAGAGAAGCCAUGCUGUCCAUGUUUUGAUUUUCAUCAUUGAUUCUCAACAUGUCCCUCUUUUUUUUUUUGAUCCAGCUUCUUCUCCCCCAAGGUGUCAUUAUUACACAUGCUUAUUUUUCUUAGCUUAUUGUUUUUCUGCUUGAUAUUGGAGUGAUUAAAGAUUGUGUUUCUCUCAGUGUCCUUUUCUUUCAAUUACUAUGAGGA